GGUCUCACUAUGUAGUUCAGAGUGACCUGGAACUCACUAUGUAGCCCAGGCUGGUCCUGAACUCACAGCGAUCUUCCUGCCUCGGCCUCCCGAGUGCUGGGAUUACAGGCGUGUGCCACCAUGCCUG
rnacentral:miRNA from 1 species